AGGUCCAGCCUGCCCGGUGACAACAGUUWAACGGCCGCGGUACCAUAACCGUGCAAAGGUAGCACAAUCACUUGUUCUUUAAAUCAGGACUAGUAUGAACGGCCCCACGAGGACUAUGCUGUCUCCCCCCCCUAAUCAGUGAAACUGAUCCCCUCGUGAAGAAGCGAGGAUAAUAUCAUAAGACGAGAAGACCCCAUGGAACUUUAAACUAGUACCACCAAUACAACACGACAUACCACACAACAAGACAACAUGACUACUAGUCUUUUGGCUGGGGCGGCCACGGAGAAAAACAAAACCCCCGAGAUGAAAGAAAACCCCUUAUCCCAGAACUACUAUUCUAAGAAUCAAUAAAUGACACUAUUGACCCMACACUUGAUCAACGAACCAAGCUACCCUGGGGAUAACAGCGCAAUCCAUUUAAAGAGACCUUAUCAACAAAUGGGCUUACGACCUCGAUGUUGGAUCAGGGUAUCCUGGUGGUGCAGCCGCUACCAAAGGUUCGUUUGUUCAACGAUUAAAACCCUACGUGAUCUGAGU
rnacentral:rRNA from 1 species